UCUCUGAUGAGAUCUGGGCUCUAGCAAUUCUGUUACCACACUCCAUCUAUUGAAAGACCCACAGAGUGGGGAGACCCUCACUCAAGUCUUGGGAUAAGCCGAUGCCCCAAUAAUUGAAGAGAGACCG
rnacentral:pre_miRNA from 11 species